AAGAACUAUUAUAGCACUAUUGCUACCAUUUUAUAUUCUUCAUUCUGAGCCUUGGCCUUGGUCAAGAUGUAAAGUCAAGAAGUAUGAACAUUGUGUUGUGUAGGUUUCUCACUGGCUAGACAAAGCUAGAGAGAGCUGUGAUGUGACUCGCCGUACACUGCAGUGUGAAACUUCGCUUCCAAAGCCGAACACAUAGCUCCAACGACAUCUUGUUGAGGUAAAAAGUCGAGGAACGAGCUGGGUCCUUUUCUUGAGCUGCAGGGUAGAGGAAACGCCACUAUGCUGAUGCCCCCCCCCCCCCCAUGAGAGAUGGGUGAUGCAUGUCUAUGGAUAUGUGGUUUGUGGACGUAACGUUGGAGUUCACCAAAGGACCAAGGUCAGGAAAACUUUGUCGUGUAUCCAAACUCCACUUUUUGAAGUUCCCUUGUGCUCUUCACCUCUUUAAUUAAAAAAUUUUGGACUUCAUGUCCCCUUUUUCAAAUCCCUCAAGCAACUGUUCAGUAAACCCAUUCUAGACAAAAAUGCAGAGAAACCAUUUACAUUAUUUGUAUAUAUAUUUGGGGGGUUUUAUGGUGAAAAACACACAAAUUGGGAUGAACGGAAUUUACAUAAAACUCAGGCCUCUUGUGGGUUGUGAUGGUUUUAAAAAGAAACGUUAAAGCAAACAAAAUAAAUAAAAAAUUGUUGGUCUUAAAAAAAAAAAAUUGAUCUUAAAAAUAAAAAACAAUAGAUAGCAAUCCCGAUAUUGGAUGCAUCAGGGUCACACUGCUUGGUUUCGGUAAUUUGUAUCUGUAAACCCAAGUCAACCAGUGGACUCCUCUUGCUCCACCCCCCCCCCACCCCCUCAAAAAGUUCAGUGGAGGUUGGAUAACGCAAGUUGGUAUUCAAGAUCAAGAUCAAGACAAGGCGAAGACUUCAAAGUGUAAGAGGAGAUUUAACCCGUUCUCUUGCAGAGUCCCACCCCUUUGUACCGCCCCUCCCCCACCAAUGUUCGGCGAUCUUGUUGAUGUUGUCCUUGCAUGUAGUUUCAAAGUUUACUUCACACUGUCUUGGCAUUUCUUGAGAUGCAUAUUGGUCGAAGCCAAUGAUGCUUUUUAUUUAGGAGACUUGUUUACUGGAAAUUUCGAUCAGGGUUGAUACUUCAAGUCGUCAGUUGCCAUACUUAUUUUUAAUUGUCGUGAUGUUAUACUUCAAAUAGGGUAAUGUUUUUAAACAAAAGAAACACCAAAUCCAACUUCUUUUUCAAAAGUAUGUAAUUCCAUUAAAAGUAUAAGCAAUACUGUGUCAUCAAACAAAAAUUAGGUAAUUUCUGCACUUUCCCCUAGCCUUCAAUUUGAUGGUGAAUGGUUGAUAUAGGAGUAUUAAAUAAUGAUUUAGACAUUAGCUUAAUUAAUAUUUACAUACUCCUAAUAUCAGCAUUACAUCAAUUUUGAAUGUAGACAAAGUCCUUGAAAACUUAUUGAUAAUAUUGAAGAAAAUAAAUAAAUCGUAUAACUAAAUGCCAAGGUUAAAAAAAAAUGAGGCAAGCUCCAGUCCCGUUAAUUAAAUUUUGUAUAUUAAAGCUUAGGGCUCAUUGAAAAUAGCUUCUUCAAACUGCUUAUUUGCGAGCGCUGCGAGAUAAAAAAAAAAGCGAAAACGGUUACAAGAUAAGAAAGAAAAAAAGACUGAAGAGGACUUAAAGGAGGUGAACAGAGCAGAUCAUCAGUGAAGCGUGUUGCCUUGGUAAUGUAUGAAUGGUAAGAUAGUCCAGGCCUAGGGGAUUUAUAGUUAGUUGGCCUAGCUAGAGAUAAGACUAACUCUAUCUUCUAACAUGUUCCUGAGGCAAAAGGUAAAGUAUAAGGUGGUGUAGUGCUUAGUCUUGAUUCAAGUGUCUUGAAGCAAAACUAACUACUAUGCCAUCAUCAGUAAAUGCCGUACUUAGAUGUCCCUGAUGAGUGACUGGAAGCAAGUGAGGCCGGGUGUUUGCAGCAAUGGUUAAGUGUAACAGGUUAAGUAUAAGGGUAGUGACCGAAUACCAAGCGUUUUUUCAAAUGGUGUAAAUAACAAUCGUUUUUUACAGCCUUUUAAUAAGCGUUUUUUUACAGCCUUUUAUUAAACGUUUUUUUCCCCUAGCCUUUUAACAAACGUUUUUUUCACAGCCUUUUAACAAACUUUUUUUCCCAGCCUUUUAACAAGCGUUUUUUUCCCAGCCUUUUAACAAGAUUUUUUGUAUAGCCUUUUAACAAACGUUUUUUCCCACAGCCUUUUAACAAACGUUUUUGUUCACAGACUUUUUACAAACGUUUUUUCACAGCAUUUUUACAAACGUUUUUUUUUCACAGCGACACUCCCUUUGAUGUCCAAGAUGAGUGACUGGAGUCAGAGGUCAGCCGUUUGCAUUUAUGGUUAAGUAUAACCAUGGUAUAACAGGUCAAGUAUGAGGUUAAUUGGGAAAGAAAACUAACGAUUCCUCAUCAGCUUUUUACCUUUAAUCUGCACUCUUUUAAUACCUGGCAAUAUUUUGUUUUCUUUUCCAGUUUGUAGUGGUCAGUGGGGUCAAUGAGGUCAGAUCUUUGGAGCAAAGGUUAAGUGCCAGGUGAAGUAUUUGGGUAAAGUAUCUGGUAAGUCUGCUCCACUGGUCCUAACCUUCCUUUCUGCAUGUAUUGAUGUUGUUUUUAUUUUGUCAACAGAUUGUGACAUGUUAUCGCUAAAGUGGAUGUUGUUUCAAGCUGUGAAGCGAUGGCUGAUUGGGGACACCGUAGCUGACAUUGGUUUUGGUAAAGUAUUGAGGUUUAUCUCAAGUGGGGGAGAGGUAGUGCUUUAUGCUCUAGCAGCCAGGCUUCUGAUGAUUGAUACCCAAGCAUGGACUAUAAAGUGGGUAACCCUGUUUCAGCCCCAAGAGUAGGUGGCGUCAGCCCCUCGGAAGUAGUUGAUUUGUAGCCCACACCUUGAAGUGACCUUCAGGCUUCAAGUUAGACUUGAUUCAAGUCUUAGAUCGCAGUUUUUUUUUGCAUCUCAGCCACGAAAAACGCCCACACUAUUAGCUAGGCUAAACCGUAGCCUAAAUAAAUGACGAUGGUUGAUCAUAAGAGGGCGCUGUUUGUAGCGGCUAUCAGGACGACUAAAAAACCACGAUCAAAGACAUGGAACAAAGUCUAUUCUCAAGUGUGUAUGACCACCUGGAAACAAAAAGUGAUGUAUAUAAGAGUGGACCUCAAUUUGGUUAAUUGACCUUAAAUGCUAACCUUUCUAGAUAUUUUGUGCUUCCAAAUUGCAGAUCAUGUUUUCUUCUUAAAGAUGAUGUAGUAGUCUGAGCGAUGACAUCUUCACUGAGCCGAGGUGAUCCCUAUAAAGCAGGAUCAGUGGUCCUGCAAGAGAUUUGAUCGUGUUUUCUUCCUGAAGAUGAUGAAGUCUGUGUGCGACGACAUUUAUUCACUGAGCCGGGGUGAUGCCUGUUUAAAGCAGGAUCAAUGAUCUUGCGAGAGAUUUGUUGAGCAGUCUCUUGUAGAGUAGUGACCACAACCGGACUUUGUAUGAGCAUCGUUUGAGGAAACAGGUGUGGGGAGACAACAGUAUACUGCAUGAUUGAGGCGAACACCAGAGAUUACAUGCCUACACCCACUAUUGGGUCUGAUAACUCUUUGACUGUGCUACCAUCUGAAGGACUGUGUCAAGUUUAGCCAGAUGUCUCUCCCUUUAAGUUUGCACAUGAUUGUGACUGCGAGAGGCGCAUGGAGGCCUAACCAACGCUUUUUGGACUGUCUAUAAAGUUAAAACUCCACUUCAAGUUUAUCAAAUGAAGUGAUGCAUAACGAUGAACUUUGUGACACACAAUUUUGAUUGUCACCAACUAAGGAUAGACUUUGUCAAGUCUAGCCAGGGAUGUUGGGGCUUAACCAACGCUUUUUUUUUGGGGGGGGGGGGGCUGUGUGCAACCAACUGAAGGACUGCGUGAAGUCUAUAAAGAUGACUCUUCCUCCACUACAAGUCUGUCAAAUGAAAUGACGUAAUAGUGAUCAUUAAUGAACUUUGUAGCAAACACUUUGGAAUGCCACCAACUAUAAAGAUAGACUUUUUCAAGUUUAGCAAGAUGGCUCCCCACUUGUUCAACUCAAGCAAACUGGAACCAUGACGAAGCCGUAUUAGAUAUAAAGACAUUCGAGUAUUGGUUGAACCACACUAAAUAAGCUCCUCCUGCUAAAUAUUGAUAAUAAUUGUUUAAAAAAAAACUCAACAGUAUUUUGAAAACUCAACAGUAUUUUGAAAACUCAACAGUAUUUCGAAAACUCAACAGUAUUUUGAAAACUCAACAGUAUUUUGAAAACUCAACAGUAUUUUGAAAACUCAACAGUAUUUUGAAAACUCAACAGUAUUUUGAAAACUCAACAGUAUUUUGAAAACUCAACAGUAUUUUGAAAACUCAACAGUAUUUUGAAAACUCAACAGUAUUUUGAAAACUCAACAGUAUUUUGAAAACUCAACAGUAUUUUGAAAACUCAACAGUAUUUUGAAAACUCAACAGUAUUUUGAAAACUCAACAGUAUUUUGAAAACUCAACAGUAUUUUGAAAACUCAACCGUAUUUUGAAAACUCAACCGUAUUUUGAAAACUCAACCGUAUUUUGAAAACUCAACAGUAUUUUGAAGACAAACCAAAUACCUUUUCUAGUAACUUUACUUCAAUUCUAUGAGCAAUUAUUUUAGUAGAAUAGUCGUUUAGCUUUUCAGACAAAAAUAAACACCCAUGAACGACAUGAAAUGGCAAGACUCCAUCUUUGAAAAGGAUUCUGAGAUAUUAUUAGAAAGAAGAUA